UCUUUUUGAUGGAUUAUUUACAUACCCGCUAUUUUGUACUUGGAAAGCGCACCGAAAGGUAAAUAUUAUCAUGCAAAUAUUUAAGAAGAUGCUAGUGGUAUACUUUUCACGAAAAAACAUUUGAAUUUAUAAAUUUCAUCGCAUGCAAACCCGAAAAUCAGUCUGACAAAGAUCAGAAGAUUGGCAAGAACGGACGCAAGUCAACUCGACCCACUGCCAAAACGGCCUACUUUUUUAACAACACGUCUCCCUUUCUAAAAAUGUCCCACUCUUGUUAAGGGAGCUACCAUGUGAGUUUUAUUGGAGGUGGGGGGGGGGGGUCACCAUGUCACAGGCACUUGUCUCAGAAAAAAAAAUUCCCUAUAUACCUUAAUAUAAUACAUAUUUAAUACAUAUAUAUAUAGGAUUUUUUUUUCUGAGACAAGUGCCUGUGUGGGGGGUGCUUGGAUGUUAUUUGAAAAAUAUGCGGAACUGGAGUUCUGUCAACUUUAAAAAAAAAAUGCAGGAUAACAUUUUUAUCGUAGCCCCCACCCCAUAAAAGUCAAGUGGUGGCUUCCUUACCAACUCGUCCUGCUUUAAAAAAAAAUUGCCCUACUUUAUAUAAAAAUGGUUAAAAUCUGUAAAAUAUACUCCUGCAAAGAAUGGCCUUGCCCAACUUGCAUGACUUGGGUAAAAUCCAAAUGAAUAUAAUUAAUAUUUAAUUUAUAUAAAAAAUAAAAGUCUGCAAAUUUGCCCUUAUUUACAUAAAUUUGUACUUAUCUAGACUACCUAGUUCAAAUAAUUAUGACUUCUUGAAAGGCUAUUACAUUUUUUUUAUUUGACGCCUUACUGUACAUUAGAGUAAAGCGUCCAAAAAAUAAUAUUAUAAUAGCCUUUCAAGACGUCAUAAUAAUUUGGACUACUAGACUACCCAGAAAUUAGAAAACACUGAUAUAAAAAUUUAAUAUACAUAAAAUUGAUAAUGGAAAUGGGGAAUGUGUCAAAGAGACAACAACCCGACCAUAAAGCAGACAACAGCAGAAGGUCACCAACAUGUCUUCAAUGCAGCAAGAAAUUCCGGAGGCGUCCAUCAGCUGGCCCCUAAACAAAUAUAUAUACUAGUUCAGUGAUAAUGAACGCCAUACUAAACAUGCUAAACUCCAAAUUGUACACAAGAAACUAAAAUUAAAAAUAGUACAAGACUAACAAAGGCCAGAGGCUCCUGACUUGGGACAGGCGCAAAAUUCAAGCGGGGUUAAACAUGUUUAUGAGAUCUUAACCCUCCCCCUAUACAUGUACCUCUAGCCAAUGCAGAUGUAUGAUAUCUAUUGAUUUAAAUUGAUGUGUCAUUUCUGAAACCAUGAUUGUGGAUUCAUAUUUAUUAUUAAAUUAUUAUGUACAUGUAAUUUAUGUAUUUAUUUAGUGUAUCAUAAUCUAUUUGAACUUUUUUUUAGCUUACUCAAAAUCAAGCUGUUUGGGCCUCCUCUUGUACAUGGGAAGUGGACUCCUUGAGAAGGUGAAAGGUCUGCUUUACAUGUACGUAAUGUUAAUAUAAAAAUACAAAAAAUGUGGUGAUCAUGGUGAUAGUGAAUGAGAAAAUAGAGGAAUUUUUAAAAGUGUAAAUUCACUUUUUUCCACUUAUAAAUCUGUCAUAUUGUAAUUAUGAUAAUAAUGUUUAAAUUACAUAAUUAGGGAGCUACCAUUUGAUUUUUAGGGGGGGGGGGGGGCUAGGAUGAAAAAUUUUGUCCUGCAUUUUUUUUCAGUUGUAAUUUCUGUCCUGCCUUUUUAUUUUUCACUCUAUUCGGUCCUGCAUUUUUUUUAUUAGUUUAUUCCGACUUUUUUUUACCUAAAUUGUCAUCCUGCAUUUUUUUUGCAAAGUGUCUCAUCCUGCCUUUUUUUUUACACUCAAAACUCCUGUCCUGCCUAUUUUUUUUCAAAUUUCAUCCUAGCCCCCCCAUAAAAAUCAAAUGGUAGCUCCCUUAUUUUCAAAAUAAAAUAUUGUUUAGGUUGCUAUAAACAGUUUCGUAUAAAAACUAGGGGUUAUUCCCCAACUAAAAAUAGACAUGGAGGGAAGUCCCUUUUUAUCAACAUAAUUGGUGAAAAAGUAUCAUGUUUUUUGUAUUUGGUUGUAAAGAUAUAUUAAUUAACUUCAAUUAAAGCAGGUUGAAUGAUUAAAAUAAUUAAAAAAAUUAGAUUAAAUAUACAUGUUUUGAGGGGAGACAACACUGUAAACAGUCUGUUUUUUUUUGGCAGUGAAAAUUGAAAACUUAUUUGCAGACACUGUAGCUCUUUAUGGAGCAGGCGAACGUACCCUGAAGCAUGAAUUUUUUGAAAGACCAGGUAAAAAUCUAUGAAAUUCAUACAACUUUGAUUAUGAAAAAUGUGCAGGUAUCAUGUCUUCAGGGGUGUGCACAUGACCUGAUUUCAGGUUUUUGUCGAGCCUGCAACUUUUGUUGCAGAAAGCUCGACAUAGGGAUAGUGAUCCGGCGGCGGCGGUGUUAGCUCACUUCUUAAAAGCUUUAUAUUUUAGAAGGUGGAAGACCUGGAUGCUUCAUACUUUGUAUAUAGAUGCCUCAUGUUACGAAGUUUCCGUCAGUCACAUGUCCAAUGUCCUUGACCUCAUUUUCAUGGUUCAGUGACCACUUGAAAAAAAAGUUCAGAUUUUUCGUAAUGUUGAAUUCUCUCUUAUUAUAAGUAAUAGGAUAACUAUAUUUGAUAUGUGCGUACCUUGAAAGGUCCUCAUGUCUGUCAGACAGUUUUCACUUGACCUCGACCUCAUUUCAUGGAUCAGUGAACAAGGUUAAGUUUUGGUGGUCAAGUCCAUAUCUCAGAUACUACAAGCAAUAGGGCUAGUAUAUUCGUUGAUGGUGUAUGGAAGGACUGUAAGGUGUACAUGUCCAACUGGCAGGUGUCAUCUGACCUUGACCUCAUUUUCAUGGUUCAGUGGUUAUAGUUAAAUUUUUGUGUUUUGGUCUGUUUUUCUCAUACUAUAUGCAAUAGGUCUACUUUAUUUGUUGUAUGGAAUGAUUGUAAGGUGUACCUAUCUAGCAGGCAGAUGUCAUGUGACCUUGACCUCAUUUUCAUGGUUCAGUGGUCAAAGUUAAGUUUUUGAGUUUUGGUCUUUUUAUCUAAUACUAUAUGCCAUAGGUCAUCUAUAUUUGGUGUAUGGAAAUAUUUUAUGAUCUUUAUGUCAGUCGCGCAGGUUUUAUUUGACCGUGACCUCAUUUUCACAGUUCAUUGCACAGUGUUAAGUUUUUGUGUUUUGGUCUAUUUUUCUUAAACUAUAAGUAAUAGGUCAACUAUAUAUGUUGUAUAGAAGCAUUGUUAGCUGUACAUGUCUGCCUGGCAUGGUUCAUCUGACCUUGACCUCAUUUUUAAGGUUCAUUGGUCUUUGUUUAGUUAUGUUGGUUAAUGUUAAGUUUAUGUGACAGUUGUAUUAAAGCUUAGCUUUAUACUUAGGACUAUCAACAUAAUAUCAAUGAUUAGUAUAGAAGGCGAGACAUUUCAGCGUGUGCACUCUUGUUUAAGCUUAAAUUAGGCAAUGUUUUUCCCAGUUUCUCUGGAUAAAACUUUUUUAUACUAUUAAAAGUACACUUUUUUUUAUUCCAUUAUAAACUAGAGAACAUUCUGAUUCCAGUGAUAUCUAGUUUUAUACAAGUAUCUUUAUUAAUCAGUCCACCACUAAGGGUCACUUAUACAUGGUCCCUCAAAAUAUGACGUCAUAGAAAAAAACUGUUGAUUGCACCCUUAACAAGAAAAGAAAACUCUCCACCAGAAAUCAAGUGACAUCGAAGUUAACUGUUAACAUGUACAACAAUAGGUCACUUUACAUCCUUCAACAAUGACUAUGAGCAAAGCCAAUACUGCAUAUUCAGUUUUUAAGGACCCUAUAUGAGAAUCACAAAUUUGUAAAUCAAUUCAAACAAGAAAACUAAGAGACUGAUUUAUACAAUGUAAAAUAUAAAAAACAGAACAAAAAAAAAUAUGAUAAACAGCAAGAUAAGACAAAUUGAACCACUAAAUUACACUUAUUUAGUUAGAAAUAUGUGUCGGAUGACCCCUCUUGCUAACUAACAUGCCAACAUGACUAAAAAUAGAACAUAGGGGUAAAAUGCAGUUUUUGGCUUAUACAUGUAUCUCUGAAAGCAGAAACUAAAGCAUUCAGAGCAAAUUUGACCUGGAGUUAAAAUGUUUACCAGGUUAAGAAGAGCUAUCCUUUUUUUUCAGGGAAAGUUUGUUGGUCUAGUUUAAAAGAUCAAAACUAAGCCAAUUUUGCAAGAUCAAAUAUUAAAUGCAAUUUUGGCAGAUAUUAUAACUUCAUUUCAUUAAACAUUAUUUCUUUUAGCAUUUUCAAAGAAUGUACAAGUACAAGUACUUUGAGAAGUAGGAGAAGAUAAGCAACAGAACAGAAUUCAUUUGGGUCAUUGCUGUCUAGAUUAUAUAGUGGAUUCAUAGAUUGUCAUUAUAUUGAUUUAUGUGCAUAUGAGCACAGAGGAGCAGUAGUCAAUGAAUAAUUUUGUGAUGAGAGGUAUGUUUAUAUUAAAAUGAUGCCUAGUUUAUUUGAUAAUUUUGCUCUCUUGUCAAACUCGGUAAAUCAUGGACAUGUAGUUUCCAAGAUUUAUUUUAAAAUUUGAGGUCAUAGAGUUCCAAGUUUUGAUUCUUGUUGUGGGCAAGUUUGAAAAUUAUCCAUGUUAACAGUUAGAAGUGACAAAUUAUUUUUUUUACAAAACCAUAAACAAUUUAACUAAGAUUUAACCCUUUCCUCCAUGGAAUUUUUUUUUUACAAACUUGAUUCGCAUAGGAUUUUUUCAAUAAAAAAAAAAUCAUCAGGUUUAAAGUAUUAAUGCAUUGUAAAAACGAACAUUUCAUCAAUGAAAUUCAAGUCGGAUAUUCUCCUGAAUAUCCUUUUCAUAUUCGAUACAAUUUUUUUAAAGUCUUUUUUAAUAUGCAGACUUUUGCUCAUACAUGUAUUAGUUUGUGAUUAGGUCAGUUUAUGGGGAACCACAAGUGGUAAGUCAAUGAUAUUUGGUAUGCAGUUGUAUAAGCAUUGGUAUAUCUCAUUUCCAUGGAGAUAAUUUGGCUCCGCCCCCUUAGUCAUGGUCUAUUGACUUUGAAAUUUUUUCUAAGUUAUCAUGUAUUAGUUUGUGAUUAGGUCAGUUCAAGGGGAACCAUUAGUGGUUGGGCAAUGUUAAUUGGUAUUCAGUUGUAUAAGCAUUGGCACAUCUCAUUUCCAUGGAGAAUAUUUGGCCUCGCCCCCUCAGUCACAGUCUAAUGACUUUGAAACUUAUCUUAGUUUACAUGUAUUAGUUUGUGAUUAGAUCAGUUUAAGAUAAACUGCUUAUGUUUAGUCAAUAAUAUUUGGUAUGCAAAUUUAUUGGCAUUUGCAAGUAUUGUUUCCAUGGAGAUUAUAUAGCCCCACCCCCUCAUCAUGGUUCAUUGACUGUGAAACUUUUACAUAGUUUACACAUUAAUGUUUGUAAUUAGGUUUGGGAACGACUUAUACAUGUACCGUACCUAAAUGUUACAAUAAUUUUUAAGUAAAGAAAGUUAUGAUACUAAAUAUCAAAAGUAAAUGUCCAGUACUACAGAUUUUAAAUACAGAAACAUUACCUAUGCAAAAGUAGCAGUUUAUAUGAAUUCAAGAAUUGAAUCUACAUGUAUAUUCAAUUAAAGAUUUCUUGCUGUUGUGCAAUACACUGGGCUGUUGCGCAAUAAUUGGUUAAUCUGUUGUCAGACUGCAAACAAACAAUAAUUUCUCAAUGUCACAUGUAUAUCAGAAAUUUAUAAAAAGAAAACUAAAAGGAGGUUUUCUUAAUAGCUAUAAAUCGGUCAUCAAAGUUUAACGAAAUUUUAAGGAUACAUGUAUUUCCAAAAACUUGAAAGUCACCCCUUUUCUUAUGACAUGUAUGAAGAAAAUCUUAUAACUCAGAAACUGACAAACUUAAAUUUAUAAAAAUCAAAUGGGAGCUUACAACAAAAAAUAUGAACAAUUUAACUAAGUUUCAUGAUAUUCAGCAUUUUUAUGUCCCACUCAACGAAGUUUUGGGGGUAUAAUGUUUUUGACCUGUCUGUCUGACGUCAAGUCCUGUUUCUUGUCAUCACAACUGUUCUCAAACCACACAACAGAAUUUCAUGAAAUCUUUUUAGAUAAUAAGGACAUACAAUGUAGAUGUGCAUAUCGACAGGAAAUUAAGAUUCAAUUUUUUUUUUUAGGAGUUAAGCCCCUUUGAACUUAUUUGCUUUAAUGUACUACUUCAACAGUUUGUUAUUGCAACUCUCCUGAAUCCACACAACAGAAUUUCAUGAAACUUUGUAGAUAAUAAGGACAUACUAUGUAGAUGUGCAUAUCAACAGGAAAUUACAAUUCAUUUUUUUUUCUAGGAGUUAUGCCCCUUUGAACUUAUUUGCUUUAUUACUACUUCAACAGUUUGUCAUUGCAACUCCUCUGAAUCCACACAACAGAAUUUCAUGAAACUUAGUAGAUAAUAAGGACAUACUAUGUAGAUGUGCAUAUUGACAGGAAAUUAUGAUUCAAUUGAAGUUUAUCAAUUGCCAAGGUACAUUGAAAGGUUGUUCUUUUAUUAAAAUCUGCACAUACAUGUAUAUAGGAUUUUUUUUAUAAGCUUAAACUUGAUCUUCUUUCUGUUGUUAGCUUACAUUUUGUUUCAAUUUACUUAAAAGUAAAAGUAUAUAGGAAAGGUAUAAAUUAGUGAGCAUCGGUUCAUACUACAUAUAGUUUUUGUCUGGACUUCUUGAUUAAUUUAUAUAUAUAUAUAUACAAUUUUAGCUUGUUACCAAAUGAAAGGAAAGGACAUUAUUGGCAAGGAUUGAUAUUACUGGUGAACAUGUAUGUCAUGUAGGUGUGAAUGCCCUGCAAAACAGACCUGAUAUCAAAGUAAGUUCAUCUGUAGAAUUGCAGUUAAUUUAAAUAAUUUUAUGUUAUCUACCUAAAACUGUUUCAAGUUUAAUUGUACAUGUACAGUGUUGCUUAUUUUUCUCACUUUCUGAUUCAAUGCAUGCAUUAAGCCUUACUCUGCUCGCCUCCUUCUGCUCCAUACACACACACUUGAGAUGUCAGAAAUUCAGACUAUCAUAGCAUUUACAUUACAAACUUACCUAGUCAGACUGGCCAAUAUUAUGUUUUGAUAAGUUAACGUUGUUAUUUAGAAAACAUAAAAUAUUUGCCACUGGACAUUCAAAUAAGCAAAAAAAAAACCGACCAGUUAAUGAUUUUUGCAUUAACAGAAUGAAUUUGCAAACAUAUAACAAUUAGCUUAUGUAAUUCAUGGAAGUUAGAUUUAUAUUCUUUAUGAAUAUUUUAUUUCAGUUACCAUCACAGUGAACAUGGUGAAGAAUAACCAAUACCAUGAAUACAGGACACAGAAGACUACCUCACAAACUUGGGAAUUUUACAAAAAAUAGAACGUUUAAAUUUACAAAGAAGACAUUUAUUUUGACAUUCAUAGACUUGGAAAGUAGAGAAAUUAUAAUGUGAAUAUAAAUCCUUGGAA
rnacentral:lncRNA from 1 species